rnacentral:rRNA from 1 species
UGCAGAAUCCCGUGAACCAUCAAGUCUUUGAACGCAAGUUGCGCCCGAGGCCAAUCGGCUAAGGGCACGUCUGCCUGGGCGUCAAGCGUUGCGCCGCUUCGUGCCAUCACCACACACCAAUGGGUGUGAUGUUGUAGGCUCGAAUGUGAAGAGUGGUUCGCCGUGCCCAUUGGCGCGACGGACUAAAGAGCGGGUUGUUGUCCUCAUGGCCAUGAUCGACAAAGGGUGGACGAAAGCCGCGAGCACGACCAAACAUUGUCUAAUUCUGGCCUGAGGAAGCUUAUACAUCCCAGUUGAACUCAAACCCACAUGCCGCAAGCGUCGGCUUGGAAUGCGACCCCAGGAUGGGCGGGACCACCCGCCGAGUUUAAGCAUAUCAAUAAGCGGAGGAGAAGAAACUUAAGAGGAUUCCCCUAGUAACGGCGAGCGAACCGGGAUCAGCCCAGCAUGGGAAUCGAGUUGCCAUCUAGUGGCUCGA